UGGCUCCUUGGUCAAGCGGUUAAGACACCGCCCUUUCACGGCGGUAACACGGGUUCGAGUCCCGUAGGAUUGAG
rnacentral:tRNA from 1 species